rnacentral:piRNA from 1 species
UGGAACGGGAGAGCUGGAAAAGAACAUG